UCCCACAUUUGUUUAUGUGUGGAUUGUAACAGAAAUAUAUUACAUAUUCUACAUGGAGGAAAAAAAUAACUCAGACUAUAAUCGUUUACCGUUCAGUCUGAACAAUGCAAACAUUGAUGCACAGUUGGAGUUUCACUGCUGGGGAUCGUUGGUGCCGUUUUAGGCGCCUUUAGAUUUCAUCAAUCAAACUGACUGCAAUUUUCCAUAAAAAUGCUGAAUUUGGGUCAGAAUCUGGGCAAAGCAGAUAAAGAUCAUUGAAGCUGUCUUGUGAGAUGAUAAAUGGAGCCCCUUUCAGGCAAAUAAAACAAGAGUUUUAGUUUGGUUUCACUUU